rnacentral:lncRNA from 1 species
GCGCGGGCGGAGCGGCGGAGCGGCUAAUUACAAUUUAAAUAUCAGCUAAAAGGGCAUUGAAGGCAGAAAAAUAUCAAUGGCAUUUUUAAAUCACUUACAUUAUUUGAUUUUUUCCUUUUUAAACCAAUAAAUCUACAUAAAACUGUCUCUUCAUAAAUAUCUGUAAUCAUGGUAUAUUAGUAGUGACUGAUUUAUGAAAUAUGCUAUUAUUACUUGUCUCUUCAUGUAGUUAUAGACUAUGAAUGUGCUGCUUAGCACUUAGGUAUAAUUUUCAAUGAUCUCUACUUAUUUUAUUUCUCUAUGCCACUUUUUAUGCCAAGCUCCAAGUAUGUGCCUUAAUUACUCUGUGUAUCAAGGUAAGAUCCAUGUCUUAUUUCUGGAACUUUCUUUCAAGAUCUGUGCCUAAAAGAGAAUAUGUACAGAAUGAUUAUCUAGGUAGAAAAAGGAGAAAAGAAAAAAAUUCUAUCUACAAAAUAAAGUAGAUAACUCAUAUUAUUUGUAUCAUUUAGAAACCCACUUUUGUCUAAAACUACAGUGCUCCUAGUAUAUUUUAGCUUGAACUGGUUUUGAGAAACAAAAUAAAUUUUGGGGCCGGGGAGCUGGUGAUUUUUCACAAUCUCAGGAACCUAGUGAAGAAUGGUGGAAAUAAGUCAGUACCUUUCUUGUUUGAGGCAAAUCUGAUAAUUUGAUCCUUAUUUCUAUUUUUAGAAUCAUAGAUACACCUUUAUACCCACACUGAACCACUUAACUUUUUGGAAUUCUUUUGUGUUAUUAUUUCUCCUUCUUUUUCUCCUCCUCCUCCUCCUCCUCCUUCUUCUUCUUCCUCUUCUUCUUUUAUUUUUUUUAGUUGUAGUUGGUACAAUGUCUUUAUUUAUUUAUUUUUAUGUGGUGCUGAGGAUUGAACCCAGUACCUCACACAUGCAAGGCAAGUGCUCUACCACUGAGCUACAGUCCCAGCCCCAUUAUUUCUUCUUAAUAAAAUAAAAAGGGAAGAAGAAUGCUAGAAAGAUAAAUAAUUGAUUUCAUACAAUUUAUUUCUUAAGACAAAUAAUUAUUUUUUUUUUCAAAAAGUUGAAAGUUAUUAGAAAUAACCUAAGGCAAUUUUCUCUUUUGCUCAGGACAGUACACUAUAACUCCAAGUCAUCCCUCUCUAAGAAUUAGGCUGUGUGCACAUAUAUAAAAAUAUGUGUUAAAAUGCCCCAAAUGGCUUAUGAAGUUUAAAAUCCCAACAGGAGCUCAAAUCUCUCAUUUUUGUUCUUUAAAAAUACAAAAUCUGGAAUUUGUGUACUUAAAAACAUUUGCUGAACUGUAAUUUAAAUGACCAAAAGAAAAUGAAGAAACAUUGAAGGAGUUAUCUACUAUUAGUCAUAGAGAGCUAAAAUAAUGAAGACAUUACAUUAAAUGUAUUUUUCAUCAUUCUCAAAAUGUUUCAUGUUUGUUAUCAAUAUAUUAAUCAAAGUUUUUAUCCACUUAUUAACAAAUAUCUUAGUUUUUAUUUUAUUAUAGAAAUAUUAGUAAUAAUGGAAUAUUAAUAAUUUAAUGCUCAUACAUGAUAAAGUAUGAAACAUGUAUUUAAAAAGCUAUGGCUUUAGCUGGGUGCUAUGAUGCAUGGGAUCCCAGGAAGCAAGAAGUCACAAGGCCUCCCAUGUUUAACUGAGGCAAGGAAAAACAGUAUGUACUUUAGUGGAUUAGUGAGAGUCUUGAUUUUUUUUAUUUAAAACCUAUGAAGUUAUUUACAAAAGAAGGAAAAUCUGGAAUCAGCUUUCCUAGACUCACAAUGAUAGCCAAAUAUUUUUUUUUCUCAAAGAGAGAAAAACUUUGAGCCCUUUUAAAGUAUAAGUUCUCUGUAUUAUGUGUAUUUUUGCAUCAUUGUAACUUGGGGAGCAAGACCUCACACAUAAUUCCCUUUUGAAACUCAUCAGCUCUGUAGCAAAACAAGCCAGCUGGGGUCAGUAGUUCAUCACGCUGUUGUUUUUUCCCCUGCCCAGAGUGUUCAGCUGCAAUUAAAAAUUAACACCUGAGAUUAGAGUUGUAGCUCAGUGGUAGAUCACUUGCUUUGCAUGCAUGAGGCACUGGGUUUGAAACUAAGCACCACAAAAAAAUAAAUAAAUAAAGAUAUUGUAUCUAUAUACAUAUGUAAAUAAACAAACACCUGGGCACUGGCUUUGUAGGUUUGGUAAGAAGGCAGGUGAAUGCCCAAUGCCUGGCCUCCAGGUGACUGGCCUGGAAACAAGGCAAGCACCCAGGUUGACCUUGGUUUGAGAAAGGCUGUCAUCAUGUGGCCAUUGCAGAUAUUUCUCACCAGUGAGCUAAUGAGCCCAGACACACAGUUUGGUUUUACACUGUUCUGAGCUCUCUAAAUCUUCUGUAAUGAUUGUUAUUUUCUGCCUCCAUCCAGGAUGCAGGCUCACGAUAUUGAUUAACUUCAGUUGGAAGAAAAGAGUGUUCUAAUGCUGCCAUCCAGGUCCAAGUCUUCUCCAUGGCACCUGCCAGGCCUUCUGUGAGCCUCCAUGAAAGUGGGCAGUGAUACAUUGACAAAUACACAAGGGGCUGAAACACCAUUCCUGUUUGUAUAGUUUUGGGUUGAGGAGUACUAGCACAAAUGAACACACAUGACAAAAGUGGGAGAAGGGAACCUCACAUCAGCAAGAUUUUCUUUAUUCAGUAUUCAAUGGUGAAUUCAAUCAAUCACCUGGCAUGACUUAUUGGGGCAGAAAAUGGUGGUGGGUUAAAUAAGGGUCUGGGUUAUAUGUGCUUCUUUUAGGAUGGUACAGGAGGAUAAUUUCUGGAGUUCAUUUUAUUGGAUCCACUGAUCCACUAGUGUCCAACUGGAAAAUAAGCAGGAAAUAUCCUGGGGCUUAUUGCUUUGGGGUCAGCUGACCCAUUGAAGUGGGGGAUGAGGUGCCAGUCAGGCACAAGUUCCUUUUGUGUUACUUAACUCUGGCUAAGGCUUGGGAUUUUAAAUGACAAAGCUUAGGGAAAAUGUUCUUGGACUUACAUUUCACAUCCUUCCAGGAGAAGAUGACAAAUCAAGCACUCGAAAGGACAUUUUGGGACAUUUUAUUGUAUUGCCACAAGAAUUCUCUGGUUGCAAUUGUUUCUCUGUAGGCAAGAUUCUUUUGGUAUUGGCAUUCACUUUUUUAUUUUUUAUUUUUUUCCCUUGGGUCAUCAUUUGUCCAUGUGGCAAAUAAAAUCACAUCAUUUUUUUUUCAAUUUUCCAACUGGCAAGCUUGAGUUACAUUUAUUUUUUUCAGCAAUUUAGAUAUUAUUUUCUUCCCUGGGUCAUACUCAGAUUUUGGACUAAGUAUUGUGCUUUGUUGUUCCCUGAAGUCUCCAAGCAUUUGCCCAAUCAAGGACCUAUGAAUUAAACCAAAGACUCUGUGUCUAAUAGAAAAAAAAAAGUAGGCCCUAAUCUUCAUCAUGUGGGAUUAAGCCCCAAAUUCCUUAAUAAGACUCCUAUAGUGCAAGAAUUAAACAUAAGAAUCAAUAAAUGGGAUGAAAUCAAAUAAAAAGUUUCUUCUCAGGAAAAAAAAAUUGAGGUGAACAGAGAGCCUACAUUCUGGAAGAAAAUUUUUACCCCUCACACAUCAGAUAAAGCUCUAAACUCUUGGGAAUAUAAAGAACUCAAAAAGCUAAGCACCAAAAAAACCAAAUAACCCAAUCAACAAAUGGGCCAAGGACCUGAACAGACACUUCUCAGAAGAGGUUAUACAAUCAACAAAUAUAUGAAAAAAUGCUUAUCAUUUCUAGCAAUUAGAGAAAUGUAAAUCAAAACUACUCUAAGAUAUCAUCUCACUCCAGUGAGAAGGGUAGCUAUUAUGAAGACAAACAACAAUAAGUGUUGGAGAGGAUGUGGGGUAAAAGGUACACUCAAACAUUGCUGCUGGGACUGCAAAUUGGUGCAGUCCAUAUGGAAAGCAAUAUGAAGAUUCCUUGGAAAUUUGGGAAUGGAACCACCAUUUGACCCACCUAUCCGUCUUCUUGAACUAUACCCAAAGGAUUUAAAAACAGCAUACUACAGGGACACAGCCACUUCAAUGUUUAUAGCAGCACAAGUCACAAUAGUUAAACUGUGGAGCCAACCUAGAUGCCCUUCAGUGGAUGAACAGAUUAAAAAAUGUGGCAUAUAUACACAAUGGAAUUUUACUCAGCAUUAAAAGACAGUAAAAUCAUGGCAUUUGCAGGUAAAUGGAUGGCACUGGAGAAGAUAAUGCUAAGUGAAAUUAGCCAAUCCCAAAAGAACAAAUGCAGAAUGUUUUCUCUGAUAUGAGGAGGCUGACUCAUAGUGGGGUAGGGAGGGGGUAGGAAUAGAUGAAUUCUAAAUAAGGCAGAGGGGUGGGAGGGAAAUGGAGGGGGCAGGGGAUUAGCAAGGAUAGUGGUAUGUGAUAGACAUCAUCAUCCAAAGUACAUGCAUGAAGACACGAAUUGGUGUCAACAUACUUUAUAUACAACCAGAGAUAUGAAAAAUUGUGCUAUAUACAUGUAAUAAGAAUUGUAAUGCAUUCUGCUGUCAUUCAUUUUUUUUUAAAACUCAAUUAAAAAAUAAAAAUAAAUAAAUGAAUGAAUGAAGUUAAAAAAAAAACCUGGGUUGACACAGACUUGUUACUAAAAAUUUCCUUAAUGUGAAAAAAGAAUAAAUAAUAGUCUCUCAAGUCAAAGGGAACUACUGUGAUGUCUUCACUAGGCUCUCUCUUUAAAAUAGAGAAGAAAUGAUAAUUCUCUAGAAGACAACCCCUAAAUAAGAAGCAAACCAAAUUUUCAGAAUGCAAGAAGAGAUUUCAUAAAGUUCUAUCAUGGGCAUUCCUUUGUUCUUACACAUGCUGCUGAGAUAUUUGAUAUCUAGAAGCCUAUAUUUUUCUCAUCUAUAAAAUUGGCAGUUAGAUAAUGGCUUAAUGGGGGAUAUUCAUAUAAGUAGGUGCUGUGCUUCCACAGCUGACAAACACCUUGAAGAUAAUGUUUAACUAUUAUCUGACACACUAUCAAUUUUCUUUCAGAAUCUUAUAACCUUCUCAUCACGGGCACUUCUUAUGCUCGAAUUCGGGACCCCCAAAAGACCACCAGAGACCAAGAUCGAUGUAAACAGCAAAGAGGUGUUUAUUAUGAGCUAGCUUGGUCCUCCACGCACACACACAGCAACUGGUGACGCUAAGAGGCCCCAAGCCCAGGGUUUGCAGCAGUUUUAUACAUUCUUUGGAGAAGUCAGGGACCCCCACAUACAUCAUAGCAUCUCUUAGCAAAUCUUCACACACCGUGGGAAAAUCAAAUAACAAAAUAAAUAACAUGAUUAGCACAUUCACUGGUGGAAACAAGUUGGGUAGGGGUGAUUGGUUACAAGAGGGGGAUUCAUUUGAACUGAAUUGGUUUAAGUCAAGAGGGGUGUUCAUGCUGAACUACAUGGUUUCCCAACACAUUAUCAACCACCAUAAACUACUGGGAGGGUCAUCUGGCAUCCCAGGUAUUUCCCUGUCUCAUGCUGAUUGGUGGCUACUAGGGGGUUGCUAUGGAUCCCCACCUAGCCUGAGUCAGGGACACCUGGUGUAGAAUAUCUCUCCUGUUAUUUGUAGAUAAACAACUUGGCAGGGUGGGAAUGUGCCUAGGAGUGCUCUGUGGGUCUUUCUAAGGACAAAGGUGAUGUCCCUUCCUUGGACAGGCUUUGCUCUGAGAUAGAGGCUGGUUUUUCACACUGAUGUCACUCAUAUGCCAAAUACAAUAUGUCAGAUCUUCCUUUUCUUAAAUCCAGAUUCCAAUUCUCUGAUGUUUCAUGGUACUGUAAGUAACUAUAUGUCCCACCUUGGUCUCCCUAUUUUCUAUGCCCUCUACUAAAAAAAAAAUCUGUUGUAUGUCUUUAUAGCCAAAGUCCCUCUAUGUUUCAAAAAUGUAAGAUUGAAGACGAUUACAUUCCUCUGUAUCAGCCUGUUCUAUAAUUAAUAAACCCUGAUUAAACUUCUCAUAUAUUCAAUAUCAACAUAUAUUUUUACAUGUAAAGGGAUAUUGAGAUAAAUUAUAGCUGGUAUUUGUCUUUGAGGUAAAUUUAAAGAAUAAGGUAAAUAAGAUCUUUUCCAUAAGUUUUUGUCAUUUAAAAUCAGCUAAAGCAAAGAAACACAAAAGAACUUGUACCUGACUGGCACCUGACCGCUUUCCCUCCUCCCUCCCCCUAAUGCUAAUGCUUCACCUAACCUUAAUACUAGAAACUCAGGUGACCUAUAGCUCUCAAAUUGUAAUGUGGGUACCGUGAACUCAGAUAUGAUGGAAAGGCUCAAACUUGAGGUUAUGACAUUAUAUUAGUCACAUAAAUGUAGUAUUCUGUAUAUGCUGGGUUAAACAUAACCCAGCAUUAAUGUCAAUUUCAACUCUUUCUUUUUAUGUUAUUAAUGUAUAUACUGGAAAUACUUAAAAUGCCCUUGUGCCUUAUGUGUUGUUUUCAUUGGGCAUUGUUGCUUUAGGGACUUGCUUCCCAGUUCAAAGUUUAAUCUGUCACCUAAAAAGAACAGAGAUCAGAAAAAGUUAAAUAAAAUUUUAUAACGAUUUUCAUUAUUAUUUUUUCAUUCCUGAAUAAUAUACAAACAUAUUUAAUCCAUAAAUUUAAAUUACCUUAUAUAUGUAAGUUUAAAUGAAAAUGUUCUGCUGGUUGGGCUAGAUCCCACUUCUGGAAGGAAACCUAGACUUAAAAUAGCAGUCUGAGUCUCUGGGUUCUGGGGUACAUUUGGAAAAAAAAUAGCUACACCCAAGAACCUGUCAUUCUAACAGUAUUCAUGCCUGGAUUGGAUAAUAUUUCCUGUCACUCAGAAAGAAGGCUCACUGGUCUCAGAUUCACAGGGCAUGGUCUGAAGCCUUGUCCAAUCAAGAGUACUUAGUGAGAACUAUCCAAUCCUGAGUGUCAGCAGGGAGGAAGUGGUGGGCUUCCUGAUCACUCCUUUUCUCCUGAGUCCUCCAUUUCUGCCAUUUGGCUGGACUUGGGUCUCAUGCUUUGAGUACCAGGUUGCUCUGCUGUGCAGGUGCUGAAGAUCCCUAGGGAUCAGGCCUGACUCCCGAGCAUCAGGAAAUGGUGAGUGUGCAGUGGCCUGGGGAGGAAGGCUGGAGGAGAAAGACUUUUGGAACCAUGAGACUGGCUCUGGCAGGAACAGAAGCUAGCAGAUUUGAACUCUGGGCAAUCUCUGGAGUCUGCAGGCCCAAGCCCUCCUCUGGGGCAGUAUGCCCUCAGUCAUAUUGGCCAUUCCAAGUGGGGAAUAUGUCAGUGGCAGAGGCUCUUUGCUACCUACCUUAUCCUCAAAGUGGAUCCUCAGCCCCUGCCUGAAAUACUGUGUGGUAAAGUCUUCCCAGAUGCUGGUGAUUGAUAGGUGGAAUGAUUCUCAUAAUCAAAUAUCUUUAGGCCAUUUUCCUGCAGGAGAGCAAAUGUUGUCUAUAGAGACAUCAUAUCUUCCUGAGCUAAGCUAAUUUUCAUUUUCACUUUCUUUCAUCCUUACCUUGUUUUUAUUAUUAUUAUUAUUAUUAUUAUUAUUAAUGCUAGUUGAACUGAGGGAUACAUUACUACUGGACUAUAUCCUCAGUAUGUUUAUACUUAUUUUGAGACGGGUUCUAGCUAAGUUGCUGAGAUUGUCCUUGUUAUGUUUUGAUUUAUCUAAACUUUGCUAUUGAAAUAUAUAUAUAUAUAUAUAUAUAUAUAUAUAUAUAUAUA